GGGAAACCUGGGCUAAUACCGCAUAACAUCCUCGCAGGCAAAGGUCCGCUGGAGGAGGGGGCUGCGGACGAUUAGCUAGUUGGUGAGGUAACGGCUCACCAAGGCGAUGAUCGGUAGCCGGCCUGAGAGGGCGCACGGCCACACUGGCACUUUAACACGGGCCAGACUCCUACGGGAGGCAUUAGUGGGGAAUUUUGCACAAUGCCCGAAAGGGUGAUGCAGCAACGCCGCGUGAGGGAUGACGGCCUUCGGGUCGUAAACCUCUUUCGACUGGGAAAAAUGAUGGUACCGGUGGAAGAAGCCCCGGUCAACUACGUGCCAGCAGCCGCGGUAAUACGUAGGGGGCGAGCGUUGUUCGGAA
rnacentral:rRNA from 1 species